rnacentral:rRNA from 1 species
GACGAACGCUGGCGGCGUGCUUAACACAUGCAAGUCGAACGGAAAGGCCCUGCUUUUGUGGGGUGCUCGAGUGGCGAACGGGUGAGUAACACGUGAGUAACCUGCCCUUGACUUUGGGAUAACUUCAGGAAACUGGGGCUAAUACCGGAUAGGAGCUCCUGCUGCAUGGUGGGGGUUGGAAAGUUUCGGCGGUUGGGGAUGGACUCGCGGCUUAUCAGCUUGUUGGUGGGGUAGUGGCUUACCAAGGCUUGGACGGGUAGCCGGCCUGAGAGGGUGACCGGCCACAUUGGGACUGAGAUACGGCCCAGACUCCUACGGGAGGCAGCGGUGGGGAAUAUUGCACAAUGGGCGGAAGCCUGAUGCAGCAACGCCGCGUGCGGGAUGACGGCCUUCGGGUUGUAAACCGCUUUCGCCUGUGACGAAGCGUGAGUGACGGUAAUGGGUAAAGAAGCACCGGCUAACUACGUG